rnacentral:rRNA from 1 species
UACGUAGGCAGCAAGCGUUGUUCGGAAUUACUGGGCGUAAAGAGUGUGUAGGCGUGUUCUAAGUUUGUCGUGAAAUCUCCCGGCUUAACUGGGAGGGUGCGGCGAAAACUGGAAUGCUAGAGGAUGGGAGAGGUAAGCGGAAUUCCUGGUGUAGCGGUGAAAUGCGCAGAUAUCAGGAGGAACACCGAUGGCGAAGGCAGGUCUCUGGGCCGAUACUGACGCUGAGGAGCGAAAGCGUGGGGAGCGAACAGGAAUUAGA